rnacentral:rRNA from 1 species
UACGUAGGGUGCAAGCGUUAAUCGGAAUUACUGGGCGUAAAGGGUGCGUAGGCGGUUAUAUUAGUCAGAUGUUAAAUUCUGGGGCUCAACCCCAGGCUCGCAUUUGAAACGGUAUAACUAGAAGAUGUGAGAGGUAAGCAGAACUCAUGGUGUAGGGGUGAAAUCCGUUGAUAUCAUGGGGAAUACCAAAUGCGAAGGCAGCUUACUGGCACAUUCUUGACGCUGAGGCACGAAAGCGUGGGUAGCGAAGCGG